rnacentral:rRNA from 1 species
GAUGAACGCUGGCGGCGUGCUUAACACAUGCAAGUCGAACGGAGCGCCUGGAAGGAAUCCCUCCGGGGAGGACAUCCGGGUGUCUCAGUGGCGGACGGGUGAGUAACGCGUGGGCAACCUGCCCUAUACAGGGGGAUAACAGCCGGAAACGGCUGCUAAUACCGCAUAAGCGCACAGUGCCGCAUGGCACGGUGCGGAAAACUCCGGUGGUAUAGGAUGGGCCCGCGUCCGAUUAGCUUGUUGGCGGGGUAACGGCCCGCCAAGGCGACGAUCGGUAGCCGGCCUGAGAGGGCGGCCGGCCACAUUGGGACUGAGACACGGCCCAG